rnacentral:rRNA from 1 species
UGGGGAAUAUUGCACAAUGGGGGAAACCCUGAUGCAGCGACGCCGCGUGAACGAAGAAGGUAUUCGUAUCGUAAAGUUCUGUCCUAUGGGAAGAUAAUGACAGUACCAUAGAAGAAAGCUCCGGCUAAAUACGUGCCAGCAGCCGCGGUAAUACGUAUAGAGCGAGCGUUGUCCGGAAUUAUUGGGCGUAAAGGGUACGCAGGCGGUUUAAUAAGUCGAAUGUUAAAGAUCGGGGCUCAACCCCGCAAAGCAUUGGAAACUGAUAAACUUGAGUAGUGGAGAGGAAAGUGGAAUUCCUAGUGUAGUGGUGAAAUACGUAGAUAUUAGGAGGAAUACCAGUAGCGAAGGCGACUUUCUGGACACAAACUGACGCUGAGGUACGAAAGCGUGGGGAGCAAACAGG